rnacentral:rRNA from 1 species
AGAGUUUGAUCCUGGCUCAGGAUGAACGCUGGCGGCGUGCUUAACACAUGCAAGUCGAACGAGCCUUCGGGCUAGUGGCGGACGGGUGGGUAACGCGUGAGAAUCUGCCCUCAGGAGGGGGAUAACGGCUGGAAACGGCCGCUAAUACCCCAUAUGCCGCGAGGUGAAAUGAGAAAUCGCCUGAGGAUGAGCUCGCGUCUGAUUAGCUAGUUGGUGGGGUAAGAGCCUACCAAGGCAUCGAUCAGUAGCUGGCCUGAGAGGAUGAUCAGCCACACUGGGACUGAGACACGGCCCAGACUCCUACGGGAGGCAGCAGUGGGGAAUUUUCCGCAAUGGGCGCAAGCCUGACGGAGCAACGCCGCGUGAGGGAUGAAGGCCUCUGGGCUGUAAACCUCUUUUCUCAAGGAAGAAGAACUGACGGUACUUGAGGAAUAAGCCACGGCUAAUUCCGUGCCAGCAGCCGCGGUAAUACGGGAGUGGCAAGCGUUAUCCGGAAUUAUUGGGCGUAAAGCGUCCGCAGGCGGUCUUGAAAGUCUGUUGUUAAAGCGUGGAGCUCAACUCCAUUUCAGCAAUGGAAACUAGAAGACUAGAGUGUGGUAGGGGCAGAGGGAAUUCCCGGUGUAGCGGUGAAAUGCGUAGAUAUCGGGAAGAACACCAGUGGCGAAGGCGCUCUGCUGGGCCAUAACUGACGCUCAUGGACGAAAGCCAGGGGAGCGAAAGGGAUUAGAUACCCCUGUAGUCCUGGCCGUAAACGAUGAACACUAGGUGUCGGGGGAAUCGACCCCCUCGGUGUCGUAGCCAACGCGUUAAGUGUUCCGCCUGGGGAGUACGCACGCAAGUGUGAAACUCAAAGGAAUUGACGGGGGCCCGCACAAGCGGUGGAGUAUGUGGUUUAAUUCGAUGCAACGCGAAGAACCUUACCAGGGUUUGACAUCCUGCGAAUCUUUUGGUAACAGAAGAGUGCCUUCGGGAGCGCAGAGACAGGUGGUGCAUGGCUGUCGUCAGCUCGUGUCGUGAGAUGUUGGGUUAAGUCCCGCAACGAGCGCAACCCACGUCUUUAGUUGCCAGCAUUAAGUUGGGCACUCUAGAGAGACCGCCGGUGAUAAACCGGAGGAAGGUGUGGAUGACGUCAAGUCAUCAUGCCCCUUACAUCCUGGGCUACACACGUACUACAAUGCUACGGACAGAGGGCAGCAAACUCGCGAGAGCUAGCAAAUCCCAUAAACCGUGGCUCAGUUCAGAUCGUAGGCUGCAACUCGCCUACGUGAAGGAGGAAUCGCUAGUAAUCGCAGGUCAGCAUACUGCGGUGAAUACGUUCCCGGGCCUUGUACACACCGCCCGUCACACCAUGGAAGUUGGCCAUGCCCGAAGUCG